rnacentral:rRNA from 1 species
AGUGAACGCUGGCGGUAGGCCUAACACAUGCAAGUCGAACGGCAGCACAGUAAGAGCUUGCUCUUACGGGUGGCGAGUGGCGGACGGGUGAGGCAUACAUCGGAAUCUACUUUUUCGUGGGGGAUAACGUAGGGACACUUACGCUAAUACCGCAUACGACCUACGGGUGAAAGCAGGGGAUCUUCGCACCUUGCGCGAUUGUAUGAGCCGAUGUCGGAUUAGCUAGUUGGCGGGGUAAAGGCCCACCAAGGCGACGAUCCGUAGCUGGUCUGAGAGGAUGAUCAGCCACACUGGAACUGAGACACGGUCCAGACUCCUACGGGAGGCAGCAGUGGGGAAUAUUGGACAAUGGGCGCAAGCCUGAUCCAGCCAUACCGCGUGAGUGAAGAAGGCCUUCGGAUUGUAAAGCCCUUUUGUUGGGAAAGAACAGCAGCAGGUUAAUACCCCGCUGUUCUGACAGUACCCAAAGAAUAAGCACCGGCUAACUUCGUG